UACGAAGGGUGCAAGCGUUACUCGGAAUCACUGGGUUUAAAGGGUGCGUAGGCGGAUUAGUAAGUCCGUGGUGAAAUCUCCGAGCUUAACUCGGAAACUGCCGUGGAUACUAUUAGUCUUGAAUGUUGUGGAGGUUAGCGGAAUAUGUCAUGUAGCGGUGAAAUGCAUAGAUAUGACAUAGAACACCAAUUGCGAAGGCAGCUGGCUACACAAAUAUUGACGCUGAUGCACGAAAGCGUGGGGAGCAAACAGG
rnacentral:rRNA from 1 species